rnacentral:lncRNA from 1 species
CUUUCCAAAAACUUAAGAAACAUUUUUAAUAUUUUAUUACUAUAUAUCUUUGCACACUUGUAAAAAAGUAAAUGUUACACCAACAUUUGAAUUACCCAACUAAAACCUUGAUUGCAUACAUCCAAAUCAUAUAAAUGGAACCACUAUCUCACGUAAACGUAGACACCACAUAUCAAUUGUAUUACAACAAGAAAAUGUGAUACAAUCAUUACAUAUUUAAAUGGUACUAUACAAAUUUGAUCAACUUGAACUGGAGCACUGAUAACAUUGUUGCAUAUGUAUCUGACUGCGCUUCAAAUAUAUAGUUCAAAAUGAUCAACUUGGAGUGGAACAUCUUCCUGAACGAUAUUUGGCUCCACAACAACUGUCUCCUCAUUUACACUGUUUGGAAGCUUAUCUAAAAUCUCUGAAUUAUCAGGAUAAAAUCUUUGGGCUGAAGCUUUCAAGGCAGCAUUGAGUGGAACAAAGUCCAUCUUGAGAUUUUUGUUCUCCUCCUUUGCUUAUCUGAAAUCUCUGAAGUAAAAAAUUCUUUGGGUUGAAGCUUUAAAGGAAGUAUUUAGUUCAAGAUUUUUGUUCUUGUUUAAGGUUGCAACGCCUCUUUUUAGGCUAUCCACUAAGUCAUUUGCUUAUGCUUUGGUGAAAUCAACAACAAUUUUAGACUUCAACUUUUGCACAAUCAACAACUUCAAAAUUGGGUUCAUUAGGCUCAGUUUGUUGCUUGACUUCCUUGAUCUCAUUUUCAACUACAAUUUCAGCAUGCUCAUAUUGAUUGAUGUUUGGGUUUGGUUUGAAGCUUGUGCCUUCGGCCUGCUCAAUAGUAUUAUUAGUCACUAGAGGAACUUUGUAAUUUUUCUUGGUAGUUGACACUUGACAAGCACACUUUGCCUUGUCGACAUCUAUGUUAUAAGUGUUGCCAACCUCACAAUGAUCUCUCUUAAAAUGAUACAUCCACGACUUACUAAGCAAUACAUGACAACAUUCAUAAGCAGAAAAUAACACUAAGCAUGACGUGUAGGAUCCAAAGGUGAUUGGGACAUGACAACCUAACUCUGCUACAAAAUACAAGACAGCAAUCAUGAAGCUUGAAAUUGCAUAAAACAACUGACAAAACAAAGAGAAAUAACUAGGGGGAGAUUUCGCAUCUCAGAACCCCUAGGAUCCACAACCACAAAAGAGUAUAUAAUUAAUCACAAUCAGCUGAAUAAAUUCUCAACAUCAAUAAUAAUCUGCACAAAGUUAACAAGCAAUACUAGCAUUUCAUAGAGAUCAAAUAAUAGCUUUCCAAACCAAUAUAAGAACGGAACUCUAAAUAGAAUAAAACACUGAAUAAUAAAAAUACUAACUAAUUAGAUAAAUACUAAAUAAAUAACUAGUUAACUAGUAGCAAUGACUACUCUAGUAAUAUCUAAUAAUAUAAACAAAAUGAUUUCUUUCCAAGCACAGAUAGAAUUUUCUGCUCAUUUAUCUCUUUGUACCCCAUCAAGAAGCACCUCUGACAUUUUUUAGUAGUACCCUCAUCCGGGGAAGAAUUUUGUAAAUUUAAAGUUAAUGUGAUUCAUUUAAAUUUUAAAUAUAAUAAAUCUUUAUAAUUAUUAGUACUAGAUGGUUUACAAUAUUUGUAUUAUCUAAAACUAAAGGAAUUCAUAUCAAUUUUGAAUUUAAAAAUAUCUCAAAUCCACUUUUUGAUGGAGUAUACAAUUAAUGUAUAUAUAGCAGUUACAAAAAUACAAUUUUAUUUAAAUACUCAUGGCAAUUUCACUUGCUUCAAAAUUCAAUUAGAUUUUGAAAUCAAUACUCAAUUAAAGACACAAUAGAAUCAAUCAAAAACUCAGUUAAACAAUAUAUUAUGAUAAGAAUGCACAAAAUACAGGUAAAAAAUAUACCUUGCAAUCAGUCACCAAAUCCAUCUCUUUACUUCAACAAAAAAUCAAUGCAUACUCUAAGAAAUAUCAAUGUGCGAGCGUGAUUAUAUCAGUCCUUGAAUUGUAUAAUCAACAAUCAAACCCUGAAACCAGGAAUCAUCAAAUUCGAAUAGAUUACUACUUAACACAACUGAGUAUUGAAAGAUAAUCAAAACGAACAAUGAGUACAUAUGAUUGAGGAGAAACUGUAUCAUAUAUAUAUAUAUAUAUAUAUAUAUAUAUACAUAUAUAUUCUGUUCUGAGUCUUCUUGC